GAUGAACGCUGGCGGCGUGCCUAAUACAUGCAAGUCGAGCGAACGGACGAGAAGCUUGCUUCUCUGAUGUUAGCGGCGAACGGGUGAGUAACACGUGAAUAACCUACCUAUAAGACUCAAAUAACUUCUGGAAACCGGAGCUAGUACCGGAUAAUAUUUUGAACCGCAUGGUUCAAAAGUGAAAGACGGUCUUUCUUUCACUUAUAGAUGGAUCCGCGCUGCAUUAGCUACUUGGUAAGGUAACGGCAUACCAAGGCAACGGUGCAUAGCCGACCCGAGAGGGGGAUGGGGCACACUGGAACUGAGACACGGUCCCGACCCAUACGGGAAGCAGAAGUAGGGAAUCUUCAGCAAUGGGAGAAAGCCGGACGGAGCAACGCCGAGUGAGUGAUGAAGAUCUUCGGAUCGUGAAACUCUGCUACUAGGGAAGAACAUAUGUGUAAGUAACUGUGCACAUCUUGACGGUACCUAAUCAGAAAGCAACGGCUAACUACGUG
rnacentral:rRNA from 1 species